rnacentral:rRNA from 1 species
AGAGUUGAUCAGUGGCGUCAGGACGAACGCUGGCGGCGUGCCUAACACAUGCAAGUCGAGCGGAGGAAUGAUGAAAGCUUGCUGGAUUCAUGACUCAGCGGCGGACGGGUGAGUAACGCGUGAGCAAUCUGUCCCAUACAGGGGGAUAAUACCGCGAAAGUGGUUCUAAUACCGCAUGAGACCACGCCUGGGCAUCCAGGAGGGGUCAAAGGAGUGAUCCGGUAUGGGGUGAGCUCGCGUCCGAUUAGAUAGUAGGUGAGGUAACGGCCCACCUAGUCGACGAUCGGUAGCCGACCUAAGAGGGUGAUCGGCCACAUUGGGACUGAGACACGGCCCAGACUCCUACGGGAGGCAGCAGUGGGGAAUAUUGGGCAAUGGGGGAAACCCUGACCCAGCAACGCCGCGUGAAGGAAGAAGGUCUUCGGAUCGUAAACUUCUGCCCUACAGGAAGAGUAGAAGACUGUACUGUAGGAGGAAGCCCCGGCUAACUACGUGCCAGCCGCCGC